AAUCAAUCCAAGCUGCCUCAAAGUUCACCAGGAACUCGUCUCUCAACCACCGUGUUCUACUAGAAAAUCGCCCAUCGAGUGCUGCAAAGCAGAGUUGGAAAUGGAGCUAAAGUAACUUAUAAUAUCCGAUUUUGGCCGUGCUCCGAGGAAGCCUUAAAAGGAAAUCGGUAAUUCAAGGAUAAAAAUUAGGAAAACUUCACGCCGAGAGUCACCGCUCGGUGCGCACUGGGCAUCCAUCGAGACGGGGGACGCGGACAAGCCGUGCGCGCGGGCCCGGCGUAGACACGGAGCCGCCCGCCUGCCCGCCCCGCCCAGCCCUGCUCGCGAAUAGCGGAGCGCGGCCUGGGCCCGCACGCGGCGGCGUGGACACCGGGACCCCGCACGCCAUGCCCUCCGGACCCCGGCCCGGGAGCGCGCAGCGUCCACGGCCCUAGCAGCCAGGCCACGUCCUGGCGCGCGCCGGCAGCUGGGGCCCCACGCAGCCCCGGGCCGGGAGCUGCAAGAGGCUGCGCCGUCGCUCGCCCUCUUUCCCCCUGCCCCGGCUACUCACGUGCCAGAUGGCGAAGAAGAUGAGCGCGGCGGUGAGCAGCAGCGCCAGCAUAUAGCAGAAGGCCGCGAAAGUGAACGCCAUGGCCGGGGAGGAGCUGCCGGGCGCGCCGGGGCCAGCGGAGAAAGGCGGCGCACGGCCCUCUGGGUAAAACCAUUCACUUCCCCCGGCCUCAGCCUCCACUGCCGCCGCGGCCUCCUCCCGGCGCGCUUGCGCAGAGGGCCGCCCGCGCGAGCACCCCCUGAUGGUCGGAGUUUGCGUGGCUCUUCUGUUGUCUGCACAGUUGAUUUUGUCCUUCAUUCUGUAGUUUACUCUUUGGAUAGCCAUUAAAUGAAUGUCUAGCUUGUUCCA
rnacentral:lncRNA from 1 species